CUUGGUCAUUUAGAGGAAGUAAAAGUCGUAACAAGGUUUCCGUAGGUGAACCUGCGGAAGGAUCAUUAUUGAAAUAAACCUGAUGGGUUGUUGCUGGUUCUCUAGGGAGCAUGUGCACGCCUUGUCAUCUUUAUAUCUCCACCUGUGCACCUUUUGUAGACCUUUCAGGUCUAUGUUGCUUCAUUUACCCCGAUGUAUGUUAAUAGAAUGUUGUGCCUAUAUAAUAUAUACAACUUUCAGCAACGGAUCUCUUGGCUCUCGCAUCGAUGAAGAACGCAGCGAAAUGCGAUAAGUAAUGUGAAUUGCAGAAUUCAGUGAAUCAUCGAAUCUUUGAACGCACCUUGCGCUCCUUGGUAUUCCGAGGAGCAUGCCUGUUUGAGUGUCAUUAAUAUAUAUAUCAAACCUUCUCUUGUAGAGUGGUUUGGAUGUGGGGGUUUGCUGGCCUUUUAGAGGGUUCAGCUCUCCUGAAAUGCAUUAGCAGAACAACCUGUUCAUUGGUGUGAUAACUAUCUACGCUAUUGAAUGUGAAGGGCAGUUCAGCUUUCUAACAGUCCUUGGACAAUUCAUCAUUAAUGUGACCUCAAAUCAGGUAGGACUACCCGCUGAACUUAAGCAUAUCAAUAAGCGGAGGAAAAGAAACCAACCAAUC
rnacentral:rRNA from 1 species